UGUAACGUAUCCCUAAUUGAGCACCCAGGUGGUGUGACACUUCUGCCCUGUCCCUGCCCUCAGAGGAGAUUCUGACAUAUCACUGCCCCAAAAUGCAGCACCUGAGUAAUUUGACUCUCCUGCCUGGACCCAGCGUACAGAUGGGAUUGUGCUUCAUUGCUGGACCCAGCAUUUAGGCCCACUACCUAUGAGAUUGCAUGCUCCUGCCUGGGCUGUGCCCACAGUGACCUUGUGACAUAUAUCUGCAUCCAUGACCUAAAAGAUGUGACACUUCUUGCCUGCAACCUGCCCUGCACAGGAAAGAUUGCGACUUCUCCCUGGAAGCAGACACCAGGUGAUGUGGCUCUCCUGCCUCUGUCUU
rnacentral:lncRNA from 1 species